rnacentral:rRNA from 1 species
GCUUGUCUCAAAGAUUAAGCCAUGCAUGUCUAAGUACAAGCCUCAGUAAGGUGAAACCGCGAAUGGCUCAUUAAAUCACACCUAAUCUACUGGAAAGUUACUAGUUACUUGGAUAACUGAGGUAAUUCUUGAGCUAAUACAUGCGAAAAAUCUCGACUCACGGAGAGAUGUAUUUAUUAGAUUAAAAACCAAUGCCCUUCGGGGCUCUCUGGUGAUUCAUAAUAACUUCUCGAAUCGCACGGCCUUGCGCCGGCGAUGGUUCAUUCAAAUUUCUGCCCUAUCAACUUUCGACGGCUGGGUCUUGGCCAGCCGUGGUGACAACGGGUAACGGAGGGUUAGGGCUCGACCCCGGAGAAGGAGCCUGAGAAACGGCUACUACAUCCAAGGAAGGCAGCAGG